UCCAUUUCACUGCAGCCUGCACAAAA
rnacentral:piRNA from 1 species